rnacentral:tRNA from 1 species
CAGAAAAUAGUUUAAUUUAGAAUCCUAGCUUUGGGAGUUAGGGGUUGGAGUUAGAAUNUCCUUUUUCUGG